UACGAAGGGGGGCUAGCGUUGCUCGGAAUCACUGGGCGUAAAGCGCACGUAGGCGGCUUACUAAGUCAGGGGUGAAAUCCUGGAGCUCAACUCCAGAACUGCCUUUGAUACUGGUGAGCUUGAGUCCGGAAGAGGUGAGUGGAACUGCGAGUGUAGAGGUGAAAUUCGUAGAUAUUCGCAAGAACACCAGUGGCGAAGGCGGCUCACUGGCCCGGUACUGACGCUGAGGUGCGAAAAGCGUGGGGAGCAAACAGG
rnacentral:rRNA from 1 species